AUGAUCCAAAUGAGUCCCAAUUUUUUUUCAUAGUUUUUUUUUAUCUCUACUUUUUUAUGAUGCUGAUUUCAUGAAUUGUUGAUGCCUGGAUUUUUAUUUGUGAAUUUUUGAAUGAACAUUGUGCUAAUUUGAUCUAUUGCAUUCAAUGCUUUGUGAAAUUCUCUAUGUUGAGCCAUCUGAUCCUAUUUUUUGCAUGCUUGACAUUC
rnacentral:lncRNA from 1 species